AGUUUUGCACAGUGGCAGUAUCGUAGCCAAUGAGGUUUAUCCGAGGAGCGAUUAUUGCUAAUUGGAAAAAAAAAAAAAAGAAUUUGCCUUGAGUAACACCACACAUUCCUGCUACAGGUUCUCAAUACUUCAUCCCCCAGACAAAUUCUGAAUCUAAAGAGCAGUGACCAUGAAAUUUUUUUUCAUAAUUAUUUG
rnacentral:snRNA from 1 species